rnacentral:ncRNA from 2 species
UUGUUCUCAUUGGGGUGCUGAAAAUAAGCUGAGAAAUACCCAUAGAACCUGAUCUGAUUCGUAUCAGCGUAGGGAUUUGAGGCCAUUUCUACU